rnacentral:rRNA from 1 species
GUGGGGAAUAUUGGACAAUGGGCGAAAGCCUGAUCCAGCCAUGCCGCGUGAGUGAUGAAGGCCUUAGGGUUGUAAAGCUCUUUCAGUAGGGAAGAUAAUGACGGUACCUACAGAAGAAGCCCCGGCUAACUUCGUGCCAGCAGCCGCGGUAAUACGAAGGGGGCUAGCGUUGUUCGGAUUUACUGGGCGUAAAGCGCACGUAGGCGGAUUGGUCAGUUAGGGGUGAAAUCCCAGAGCUCAACUCUGGAACUGCCCUUAAUACUGCCAAUCUAGAGUCCGGAAGAGGUGAGUGGAACUCCUAGUGUAGAGGUGGAAUUCGUAGAUAUUAGGAAGAACACCAGUGGCGAAGGCGGCUCACUGGUCCGGUACUGACGCUGAGGUGCGAAAGCGUGGGGAGCAAACAGGAUUAGAAACCCUAGUAGUCC